CAAACCAAAGCUGGCGACCGGCGCACGGGUGAGUAACACGUAUCCAACCUGCCUCAUACUCGGGGAUAGCCUUUCGAAAGAAAGAUUAAUAUCCGAUAGCAUAUAUUUCCCGCAUGGGUUUUAUAUUAAAGAAAUUCGGUAUGAGAUGGGGAUGCGUUCCAUUAGUUUGUUGGGGGGGUAACGGCCCACCAAGACUACGAUGGAUAGGGGUUCUGAGAGGAAGGUCCCCCACAUUGAAACUGAGACACGGUCCAA
rnacentral:rRNA from 1 species